AAGAAAAGAAAAGAAAAAAAAAUUAAAACACAAAUCUUCUUCUUCAAAAAAACGUCACUCUCUCUCUCCCACACCAAAACCACCAUGAAAGCUCAUUUUUGAGCUUGAAGAACCAAAAUCCAACCAUGGCCAAUUGUCCUACCAUAACUAGAUGUUGUUUGGACAACUAGGAAAGAGGAUUCAAAGAAAAGAAAGAAGAAAAAUUUGAAGAAAAGGGAGAAGAAAUUCUGCACACAAGAUAAAAGCAAGGAGAAAGCAGCAGAGUGAGCUGCGGAAUUGACAAGAUCUUUUUGAUCCCUUUUUGUACGGGUAUUAUUUUAUACCCUUAUGGUUAUUUUGAUGUAAAUACUGUAAUGUCAUAAGUAUCAAUGUAAAUUGAGCAGUUGUAAAUAAACUAUAAUAAUAUUAUUUUAGAUUUUCUUCUGUAAAUUUAAUAUUUGUACAUAUGGAUUUUCUGCCUUAUGUUUUGUGAAUGGAAUUAUUGAACCUA